UCACUUACCUGGCCGCGGGGCUGCGGGGUCAUCUUGACCGCGCCCCAUCGGCACGGUGCAGGCCUUGCACUUUUGUCUGCAACGAGCCGGUUUAUGGUCCUUCGGGGCCAUAAGAGGUAUAAUUUUUCCCUCCCGUUGUUAGCUUCGGCUGCCUCGGG
rnacentral:snRNA from 21 species